GUGCAGCAUUGUGUUACAGCUUCGAAUGAAAGGAUGGGGGUAUGACAUGUGGCCUGGAUCCAGAAGACCCCCAUUGGAAGCUCAUCGGGACAAAAGAACUCGCCAUACGAUCUCCUUGCGAUAGUUGGUUAGCAAUAACGAUAAUACUUGGUGGUACGAUUACUUGAUAAAACACAAUCGCUCUGAGAAAAAAAAAGUAAAUUGCAGAACUCACUAUGACAUCAUUUCAAUAUUUUGACACUGCAAUAAAGAAAAUACACGACACGAUAAACCAAUCAGAUCUAAUGUAACUAGAGAGGGAAACAAAAAAGUGUUAAAAUCGCACAAUCCGAGAUAUCCACCCUGGCUUUGCACUUCGGCCAAAACAAAACGCAUCAGCCGUGAAACGUCUGGUUUAGCGCUCAUUCAGACUGAUCUGCGCAGAUUAGCGACAAAGUAAAUGAAAACUGAAAAUCUCCCGAAAAAAAACUCACUGGAGGAUUUGCCACUGACACAUGGUGAACUCCAGUGCAAAAACCUUUCCCUUCAAUGAUCUGCAGCGCCGAAAUUCGCCAAACUGCAGGUUGGGCCUCAAAAUGAGUCGAUUAAGUUUGUUAUUCAGUCAUGCUUCAUUUAAUAGCGGGGACAUGAUGUAUUUUGUACAGAAUUCUUUUGCAUUGAGCUGUACUGGACCAUUGUUGUUGGUCUUGUAGUCAUAAAUUCUGUUCUCAAAUUCCGGAUCCAAA